CCGGAAUCGGAAGCGGUAGAGACGGAAGCGCUACGGCGGCCUCGUGGGGUCAGACGGAAGCGGAGCGGAGCGGGGCUGGCAUCAUGUCGGGCCGAGAGGGCGGCAAGAAGAAGCCGCUGAAGCAGCCGAAGAAGCAGACGAAGGACCUGGAUGAGACAGAUCUGGCUUUUAAACAAAAGCAGAAGGAGGAGCAAAAGAAACUCGAGGAGAUGAAAGCGAAGGCUGCUGGAAAAGGGCCCCUCACGAGCGGUGGAAUAAAGAAGUCUGGCAAAAAGUAAGACCCAUUCAACUUAAUGGAUGUGCAGCCUUCAGAACAUGAAGAGAACUCGCUGGCACUUGGGAAGCAUUGUACAUUUUGUUUAGUCAGAAUAAAACUUUUUUGUUAAGAGAUGA